UUUGGAUGUAUGAGAUGGGUUUGGUUGGUAGAAAGAAAGGAAAUUGAAAGUUUAUAGGGAUUGUCAACUUCUUAUAGGCUUUCAAAGAGGCUCUUGUAUGGUAUUUAUGAUUGAUUCUUUUGCAGCAACGUUUACUUGUUGUAUAUUAUGGACGUCAAAUCAUUGGGAUGCAAGUUUGCUGU